CGCUUUGUCUUUAACUGAUAUGAAGAGCUUGCUCUGAUUUGAUUCUAUCUGACAAAGAGUGGCGAACGGGUGAGUAACACGUGGGUAACCUACCUCUUAGCAGGGGAUAACAUUUGGAAACAAGUGCUAAUACCGUAUAAUACCAACAACCGCAUGGUUGUUGGUUGAAAGAUGGUUCUGCUAUCACUAAGAGAUGGACCCGCGGUGCAUUAGCUAGUUGGUAAGGUAACGGCUUACCAAGGCAAUGAUGCAUAGCCGAGUUGAGAGACUGAUCGGCCACAAUGGGACUGAGACACGGCCCAUACUCCUACGGGAGGCAGCAGUAGGGAAUCUUCCACAAUGGGCGCAAGCCUGAUGGAGCAACGCCGCGUGUGUGAUGAAGGGUUUCGGCUCGUAAAACACUGUUAUAAGAGAAGAACGGCACUGAGAGUAACUGUUCAGUGUGUGACGGUAUCUUACCAGAAAGGAACGGCUAAAUACGUGCCAGCAGCCGCGGUAAUACGUAUGUUCCAAGCGUUAUCCGGAUUUAUUGGGCGUAAAGCGAGCGCAGACGGUUAUUUAAGUCUGAAGUGAAAGCCCUCAGCUCAACUGAGGAAUGGCUUUGGAAACUGGAUGACUUGAGUGCAGUAGAGGAAAGUGGAACUCCAUGUGUAGCGGUGAAAUGCGUAGAUAUAUGGAAGAACACCAGUGGCGAAGGCGGCUUUCUGGACUGUAACUGACGUUGAGGCUCGAAAGUGUGGGUAGCAAACAGGAUUAGAUACCCUGGUAGUCCACACCGUAAACGAUGAGUGCUAGAUGU
rnacentral:rRNA from 1 species